CUACGGGACGCACCAGUGAGGAAUAUUGCACAAUGGGGGGAACCCUGAUGCAGCAACGCCGCGUGGAGGAUGACGCAUUUCGGUGUGUAAACUCCUUUUAUAUGUCAAGAAAAUGACGGUAGCAUAUGAAUAAGCACCGGCUAACUCCGUGCCAGUAGCCGCGGUAAUACGGAGGGUGCAAGCGUUACUCGGAAUCACUGGGCGUAAAGGACGCGUAGGCGGGUUGGAAAGUCAGGUGUGAAAUCCUAAAGCUUAACUGUAGAACUGCACUUGAAACUUCUAAUCUAGAGUAUGGGAGGGGGAGAUGGAAUUAGUGGUGUAGGGGUAAAAUCCGUAGAUAUCACUAGGAAUACCUAAAGCGAAGGCGAUCUCCUGGAACAUUACUGACGCUAAGGCGUGAAAGCGUGGGGAGCAAACAGGAUUAGAUACCCGAGUAGUC
rnacentral:rRNA from 1 species